rnacentral:misc_RNA from 1 species
GAUGAAGAACGUAGUGAAAUGCGAUAAGUAAUGUGAAUUGCAGAAUUCAGUGAAUCAUCGAAUCUUUGAACGCACAUUGCGCCCGCCAGUAUUCUGGCGGGCAUGCCUGUUCGAGCGUCAUUACAACCCUCAGGCCCCCGGGCCUGGCGUUGGGGAUCGGCGGAAGCCCCCUGCGGGCACAACGCCGUCCCCCAAAUACAGUGGCGGUCCCGCCGCAGCUUCCAUUGCGUAGUAGCUAACACCUCGCAACUGGAGAGCGGCGCGGCCACGCCGUAAAACACCCAACUUCUGAAUGUUGACCUCGAAUCAGGUAGGAAUACCCGCUGAACUUAAGCAUAUCAAUAAGCGGAGA